rnacentral:rRNA from 1 species
UGCGUAGGUGGUUGUUUAAGUCUGUCGUGAAAGCCCUGGGCUCAACCUGGGAAUUGCGAUGGAAACUGGGCGACUAGAGUGUGGUAGAGGACAGUGGAAUUUCCGGUGUAGCAGUGAAAUGCGUAGAGAUCGGAAGGAACAUCUGUGGCGAAGGCGACUGUCUGGGCCAACACUGACACUGAGGCACGAAAGCGUGGGGAGCAAACA